GACGAACGCUGGCGGCGUGCUUAACACAUGCAAGUCGAGCGGUAAGGCCCUUUCGGGGGUACGACGAGCGGCGAACGGGUGAGUAACACGUGGGUGACCUGCCCUCAGCUCUGGGAUAAGCCCGGGAAACUGGGUCUAAUACCGGAUAUGACUCCACGGUGCAUGUCGUGGGGUGGAAAGCCUUGUGCGGCUGAGGAUGGGCCCGCGGCCUAUCAGCUUGUUGGUGGGGUGAUGGCCUACCAAGGCGACGACGGGUAGCCGGCCUGAGAGGGCGACCGGCCACACUGGGACUGAGACACGGCCC
rnacentral:rRNA from 1 species